UACGGAAGGGGCAAGCGUUGUUCGGAAUCAUUGGGCGUAAAGGGCGCGUAGGUGGUUCUGUAUGUCUACCGUGAAAGCAUACGGCUCAACUGUAUUUUGUCGGUAGAAACUGCAGGACUUGAGGCUGGGAGGGGCUGGUGGAAUUCCCUGUGUAGCGGUGAAAUGCGUAGAGAUGGGGGAGAACACUCGUGGCGAAGGCGGCCCCCUGGGUCAAGAUUGACGCUCAUGCACGAAAGCGUGGGGAGCAAACAGG
rnacentral:rRNA from 1 species